UCGAGCGCGAAAGGACAAUCCGAGUAGAGCGGCGCACGGGUGCGUAACACGUGGAUAAUCUGCCCUUGAAUUCGGGAUAACCUUCCGAAAGGUUGGCUAAUACCGGGUAAGCUCACGGUGACUUCGGUCGCUGUGGGAAAAGUAGACCUCUGUUUACAAGUUUACGUUUGAGGAUGAGUCCGCGGCCCAUCAGCUAGUUGGCGGGGUAAUGGCCCACCAAGGCUACGACGGGUAGCUGGUCUGAGAGGACGAUCAGCCACACUGGAACUGAGACACGGUCCAGACUCCUACGGGAGGCAGCAGUGGGGAAUUUUCCACAAUGGGCGAAAGCCUGAUGGAGCAACGCCGCGUGUGUGAUGAAGGUCUUCGGAUCGUAAAGCACUUUCGACCGGGACGAAAAACCUCUGGCUAACAUCCAGGGGCCUGACGGUACCGGGAGAAGAAGCACCGGCUAACCCUGUGCCAGCAGCCGCGGUAAUACAGAGGGUGCAAGCGUUGUUCGGAAUUAUUGGGCGUAAAGCGCGUGUAGGCGGCUUGGCAAGUCAGAUGUGAAAGCCCAUGGCUUAACCAUGGAAGUGCGUCUGAAACUGCUGAGCUUGAGUGCCGGAGAGGAUGGCGGAAUUCCGCAAGUAGAGGUGAAAUUCGUAGAUAUGCGGAGGAACACCGGUGGCGAAGGCGGCUAUCUGGACGGCAACUGACGCUGAGACGCGAAAGCGUGGGGAGCAAACAGGAUUAGAUACCCUGGUAGUCCACGCUGUAAACGAUGAGAACUAGGUGUCGUGGGUGUUGACCCC
rnacentral:rRNA from 1 species